AUCUACCGCCAUAGCACUCUGAAUGUGCUUGAUCUCGUGUGAUCGUAGAAGCUAAGCAGGGUCGGGCCUGGAUAGUGCUUGGAUGGAAGACCACCUGGGAAUACCGGAUGCUGUUGGCU
ensembl:rRNA 5S_rRNA 5S ribosomal RNA